CCUACGGGUGGCAGCAGUGGGGAAUAUUGGACAAUGGGCGAAAGCCUGAUCCAGCCAUGCCGCGUGUGUGAAGAAGGCCUUCGGGUUGUAAAGCACUUUCAGUGGGGAAGAAAGCCUUGGGGCUAAUACCCUCGAGGAAGGACAUCACCCACAGAAGAAGCACCGGCUAACUCCGUGCCAGCAGCCGCGGUAAUACGGAGGGUGCGAGCGUUAAUCGGAAUUACUGGGCGUAAAGCGCGCGUAGGCGGUCUGAUAAGCCGGUUGUGAAAGCCCCGGGCUCAACCUGAGAACGGCAUCCGGAACUGUCAGGCUAGAGUGCAGGAGAGGAAGGUAGAAUUCCCGGUGUAGCGGUGAAAUGCGUAGAGAUCGGGAGGAAUACCAGUGGCGAAGGCGGCCUUCUGGACUGACACUGACGCUGAGGUGCGAAAGCGUGGGUAGCAAACAGGAUUAGAUACCCGAGUAGU
rnacentral:rRNA from 1 species